AUUCCUCUGUUCAUUCAUUUGUUCCUCUCUGUUCACUUUUAUUCCUGAGUUCAUUGAACUGCCUCUCUGUUUUGCUUUUUUUUUGUAGCUCUUUGACUUUCUUCAUGAAGGCUGUUUUGAAUUCUCUUAUCAGUUAGCUCACAAUAUUCUGUAACUUUAAGUGUGGUUACUGGAGAAUUGUCAUUGUACUUUUGUGAUAAAAGUGUUACUAUGGUUCUUCAUGAUGUUUGAUGAAAUUGUUCCUCUGCUGGCACAUUUAAAGUAGCAAG
rnacentral:lncRNA from 1 species